UUNCCUGGUGUCACUGGGUAGGCCACAUA
rnacentral:piRNA from 1 species